rnacentral:lncRNA from 1 species
GCCUCCUCGCAGGACGGACCCUGGACGGAGCAGGGAUCCUGCGCCCUCGGCCCGCCGGGGCCACCUUCCCGCUGUGCGUUUCUAAACCUGUGCAAUGUCACGCGGGCCCUGAGCAGUGAGACCCCCCCCUCCACCCCGGUGGUCUCGAGGAUGUGGCCGGGGACCAGGGCGGGGCUGGCCCCAGUGCGGCCGCACGCGCCCCUUCGCCAGCGCCGAGGCCCCGGUGGCACGUCUGGCCCGGCUUCGCUUCUCCGGAGGUUCCUUGCUGUCGGCCGCAGCCACCGCCCCUCCCUGCCCCCCAGGGGCCCUCAGGGCGCCUUCAGGCCUCAGCAGAGCGAAACCCAAACGAGGCGCUGGCGGAAAGCAGCCAGCACUCCUCCCUCCCUCUCCCUCCUUUCCUCCCCUCCUCCCUCACUUUUGCUGGGCCCUUGGGGAAGUCUUGGUUCCCCGGGCCCUGGGGGUGCAGAGCCGGUGUUCGGGAGAGCCGCCUCGUGACCGCACGGUGUGUUCGGUUUGUGAAAGCUCAGCGGGCUGAUCGCUAGGAUUUGAGCAUUUUUCUCUACAUAUACGGUGGAAAUGGUGGCUGUGAAUAUCAACUACUCCUUAUUUAAUUGUGAAAUGUUAGAAAACACACCGAGAGACUGCGCAAGCACAUAUGCGUGGGCUAAAAGGCGCUAAGAAGACACCUGUGUCUACCCCUGAGGCAUCCUUGUGCUGACAUUUUGGGUCAUUAUUCUCUCCCUUUUCUUACAGCUUCAUCACGUGUGUGUGUGUGUGUGUGUGUGUGUGUGUGUAAAUUCUUAAACGUACAUGGUUUAGCCACAAUGAGGUACCACCUCAUACCCAUUAGGAUGGCUACUAUAAAAGAAAAACACAGGCUGGGCGCAGUGGCUCACGCCCAUAAUCCCAGAACUUUGGGAGGCCCGUGGGGUGGGGGGGGGGGGGGGGGGUGGAUCACCUGAGGUCUGAGGUCAGGAGUUCGAGACCAGCCCAGCCAACAUGGUGAAACCCCGUCUCUACUAAAAAUACAAAAAUUAGCCGGGCAUGGUGGUGUGCGCCUGUAAUCCCAGCUAUGCAGGAGGCUGAGGCAGGAGAAUCACUUGAAGCCAGGAGGCAGAGGUUGCAGUGAGUGGAGACUGCGCCAUUGCACUGCAGCCUGGGCAGCAAGAGCGAAACUCCGUCUCAAAAAAAGAAGAAAAGAAAAGAAAGAAAAAUGCAGAAAAUAGUAAUUGUUUCAAGGAUAUGGGGAGGCUGGAACCCUCAUGCAGUGUUGGUGGGGAUGUGAAAUGGUGUAGCUGCUGUGGAAAACAGGAUGGCAGUUCUUCAAAAAAUUAAAAAUAUAAUUACCAUGUGAUCCAGCGAUUUUACUCAAAGACUCACACAGAUAUUUGCACACACAUAUUCAUAGCAGCAUUACUCACAACAGCCAAAAGGUGGAAGCACCCAGGUGUCUGCUGAGGAAAGCAUAGAUGAACACAAUGCAGUCCAUCCAUGUGCUGGAAUAUUACUCAGCCUUAAAAAAGGAAGCAGAUUUCGGCACAUGCUACAACAUGGAUGAACCUUGGGGCCACCAUGCUGAGUAAAAUAAGACAGACACAAAAGGACAGAUACUGUGUGAUUCCACUUCCAUGAGGUCCCUGGAGAAGUCAUAGAGACAGAAAGUAGAGUGGAGGGUGCCAGGGGUUGGGAGGGGAAUGGGGAGUGAGUGUUUCAUGGGGCCAGAGUUUCCAUUCAGGAAGCUGGAACAGCUCUGCAGAUGGUGGUGGCAAUGGUUACAUGAGAUGUGAAUGCCACUGAACUGAAAAGUGGUCGAGAUGAUAAAUUUAUGUUAUGUGGUUUUUUUGUUUUGUUUUGUUUUUGAGACGGAGUCUCACUCUUGCCGACCAGACUGGAGUGCAGUGGCGCAAUCUCAGCUCACUGCAACCUCCACCUCCCGAGUUCAAGUGAUUCUCAUGCCUCAGGCUCCCAUGUAGCUGGGAUUACAGGCACCCACCACCACACCCAGCUAAUUUUUAUAUUUUUAGUAGGUCACCAGGCAAGGAGAGGCUCCCGGGGACUUCCAGAGUAGAGAAGUGGGGCAGGGUUUAAUUUCCAGGCACAUGAUGGCUGGUGUCCCCAGAAACACAGAGCUGUUUACAGCCGAGCACUGACAAGAGGUGGCGCUGUCCCCUUCUUGAUCCCAGCCGGCCGGCUUCCAGGACUGAGGAAGGAGGUGUCCUUCUCAGCACUCUCUCAUCAGAGCUGCAUGUCCCGGCCAUCUGGGGUCAGGAGGGGAAGGGGGCCGCCGGACGGGCCAUGCUCUGGAUGGCCCACUGCAGGAUGCCAUCGAA